rnacentral:rRNA from 1 species
ACUUGCAAUCGAUGCCCCUUAUGCAAGCAAGUUGAAGAGUACGCGGCUCACCUCCUUUUCCAAUGCCGCUACACGGUUCGAGUUUGGAAAAUGAUUAAGUCUUGGCUUGGCUUGGUUGAUGUGCACCCUACGGCUUGGGUGGCGGUCCAUUCGGUGAAGGCAUGGUGGAACCUCAUUGACACCAACAUGUCGCAAUCUCGACGGGCGAUGAUGUCUUUUAUUAUGCUUAUCUCGUGGGAAAUUUGGAACGAGAGGAAUGCACGCGUCUUCUGUGACACCGCGGUGCCGGUUGGGAUUCUUGUUGCUAGAAUUAAAGAUGUUUCAAAGCUAUGCUGCCUUGCAUGGGCCAGGUAUUUGAGUAAUGUAGUGCCGUGA